AAGAUCGAAUGGGGGGAUUCAUCGUCAGCGGCUCUGGCCUCCCGUCUGCUCGUGAUGCCCCGACCACGGACCUUCGCGGUUCCGCGGCGAGGGCACGCAGUCUUCGGCGAAUGUCUGGAGUCGUAGUCGUGCACUUCUCCCCUAGUAGAACGUCGCGACCCGUUGAGUGUCGGUCUACGGCCCGAGUGGGCGCCUGUCUCGUCGUCUCGUACGCACGCGGCAGACCCUCGGUCGCCCGGCCGGCUGCUCGGCGGUACUCGCACGGUAUCGGGCCGCAACCAAUCCAUCUUGAAUGUGUUUGCGUCGGGCCCGCCGCAAGCUGGGUCAGCAACUCGGAGGUCGGACUUAGCGCCGUCCCCGGGACUGGCCAGCUGUUGGUAGGCGGUGUCCUCGGACUGGCCAAGCUUCGAAUUACCGGUCGGCGACGCUACUGCUUUGGGUACUCUCAGGACCCGUCUUGAAACACGGACCAAGGAGUCUAACAUGUGUGCGAGUCAUUGGGACAGAAAAACCUAAAGGCGAAAUGAAAGUGAAGGUCGGCCUCCGCGUCGACCGAGGGAGGAUGGGCCGCGUUACGAGGCGGCUCCGCACUCCCGGGGCGUCUCGUUCUCAUUGCGAGAAGAGGCGCACCCAGAGCAUACACGUUGGGACCCGAAAGAUGGUGAACUAUGCCUGGUCAGGACGAAGUCAGGGGAAACCCUGAUGGAGGUCCGUAGCGAUUCUGACGUGCAAAUCGAUCGUCGGAACUGGGUAUAGGGGCGAAAGACUAAUCGAACCAUCUAGUAGCUGGUUCCCUCCGAAGUUUCCCUCAGGAUAGCUGGCACUCGCUCGAUCGAGUCUCAUCUGGUAAAGCGAAUGAUUAGAGGCCUUGGGGCCGAAACGACCUCAACCUAUUCUCAAACUUUAAAUGGGUGAGAUCUCUGGCUUGCUUGAACUAUGAAGCCACGAGAUAUCGGAUCAGAGUGGCCAAGUGGGCCAAUUUUGGUAAGCAGAACUGGCGCUGUGGGAUGAACCAAACGCGGAGUUAAGGCGCCUAAGUCGACGCUUAUGGGAUACCAUGAAAGGCGUUGGUGCUAAGAC
rnacentral:rRNA from 1 species